rnacentral:tRNA from 1 species
UCCCUGCUAAUCUAGUGGUUAGGACUUAGUGCUUUCAUCACUGUGGCCCAGGUUCAACCCCUGGCCUGGGAA